rnacentral:rRNA from 1 species
GACGAACGCUGGCGGCGUGCUUAACACAUGCAAGUCGAACGGCAAGGCACUGCUUUUGUGGGGUGCCCGAGUGGCGAACGGGUGAGUAACACGUGUGUAACCUGCCCUAGACUUUGGGAUAACUUAAGGAAACUGGAGCUAAUAUCGGACCGCAGCCCCUGCUGCAUGGUGGGGGUUGGAUAGUUUCGGCGGUUGGGGAUGGACUCGCGGCUUAUCAGCUUGUUGGUGGGGUAGUGGCUUACCAAGGGUUUGACGGGUCCCCGGCCUGGGAGGGUGACCGGCCACAUGGGGACUGAGAUACGGCCCAGACUCGUACAGGAGGCAGCGGUGGGGAGUAUUGCACAGUGAGCGGGAGCCUGAGGCGACGACGCCGCGGGCGGGAUGACGGCUUUCGGGGUGUAAACCGCAUUCGCCUGAGACGAAGCGGUAGUGACGGUAAUGAGUGAAGAAGCACCGGCUAACUUCGUG